UACGGAGGGUGCAAGCGUUAUCCGGAUUCACUGGGUUUAAAGGGUGCGUAGGAGGGCAGGUAAGUCAGUGGUGAAAUCCCCGAGCUUAACUUGGGAACUGCCGUUGAUACUAUCUGUCUUGAAUGUUGUGGAGGUGAGCGGAAUAUGUCAUGUAGCGGUGAAAUGCUUAGAUAUGACAUAGAACACCAAUUGCGAAGGCAGCUCGCUACACAUAUAUUGACUCUGAGGCACGAAAGCGUGGGGAUCAAACAGG
rnacentral:rRNA from 1 species